CCAUUUUUUGGUAAGCAGAACUGGCGAUGUGGGAUGAACCAAACGUAAAGUUAAAAGUGGCCUAAAAAAUACGUUCAUCAGAUACCACAAAAAGGUGUUGAUUCAUCUUGACAGUUGGACAGUGGCCAUGGAAGUCGGAAUCUGCUAAGGAGUGUGUAACAACUCACCAACCGAAUGAAUUAGCCCUGAAAAUGGAUGGCGCUUAAACGUAUUACUUAUACUUUACCAUUAAAAUAAAUGCUAAACUUUAAUGAGUAGGAGGGCGUAUGGAUAAUUUAGAAGACUGAUAGUGAUAUUGGUUGGAAUUAUCUUUAGUGCAGAUCUUGGUGGUAGUAGCAAAUAUUCAAUAGAGAACAUUGAAGACUGAAGUGGAGAAAGGUUUCACAUGAACAACACUUGGAUGUGAGUUAGUCGAUCCUAAACGGUGGGUUAACUCCAAAUACAUAGAUACUUGUAUCUUGUACCGUGAAAGGGAAACAGGUUAAUAUUCCUGUACUAUAUCAAGGAG
rnacentral:rRNA from 1 species